CGCCUUUCGCUUGGGGCAAUGACGCAGCUGGUGAGGUUAUACCAAGGCGCGUCAAUUGCUGAUUGAAAACUUUUUCCAAACCCCAUCUUUGGUCCUCAUGGGUCUAUGUGAAUUUUUGGGAGGGUUCUCUAUUGAAAUAUUUCUUGCUGCGAAAACC
rnacentral:snRNA from 1 species